rnacentral:rRNA from 1 species
CCUACGGGUGGCUGCAGUGGGGAAUAUUGCACAAUGGGGGAAACCCUGAUGCAGCGACGCCGCGUGAGUGAAGAAGUAAUUCGUUAUGUAAAGCUCUAUCAGCAGGGAAGAAAAUGACAGUACCUGUAGAAUAAGCUCCGGCUAACUACGUGCCAGCAGCCGCGGUAAUACGUAGGGAGCAAGCGUUAUCCGGAUUUAUUGGGUGUAAAGGGUGCGUAGACGGAGAAGCAAGUUAGUUGUGAAAUCCCUCGGCUUAACUGAGGAACUGCAACUAAAACUACUUCCCUUGAGUACUGGAGAGGAAAGUGGAAUUCCUAGUGUAGCGGUGAAAUGCGUAGAUAUUAGGAGGAACACCAGUGGCGAAGGCGACUUUCUGGACAGUAACUGACGUUGAGGCACGAAAGUGUGGGGAGCAAACAGGAUUAGAUACCCUUGUAGUC